GCCUCUCACCCUCCUACUGCUGCCGAAGGAUACAUUUCUGAAAAUGUGCUGCAGAUGUGAAUAUUUUCUGCAAGUGCCUGUGGCUGACCCAGGCUACUGACGCAGUCAGCCUGCUCAGCACUGCUUCUCUGGAACAAACCCUUGACCCCUCUUCCUUUCUCUCAACUUGGACUUUCAGCCCUUUCUAUCCCACUUUAUCCUGAAGCUCUGCUUGGCUGGCUUAGCUGUUAAUUUUUUUUUUUUUUUAAUUCCAUAGCUUUAACUCUUCUAAGAAUUCUGUCAUUGUCUCUUUUGAUAAUUAAGUACUCUCCACCAAUGUAGUCCCCUAGGAGGGGAGGGGUUCAGGAGAGAGGAGAAAAAAACAGAAGAGAAUUAACAUGAAUUAAGCAAAGAUUCUGGGCCAGGCACCAAAGCUAAGGAGCUUCAUACGUUAUCUCUUUAAUCUCCUCAAAACUUUGAGAAUGGAUCAUUGUUAGCUCAUUUUACAAACAGGAAAAUGAAAGAUUUGAAAGAUGCUCCUUUUGUCUGGAAGCUUCAGCUAUAUGCCAUCUCAAGUUCCAUCUUCCUGGAAAACCCUUGUAAAUCCACCACUGUUAGGCUUAGCCAUCAUCUCCUUGAUGAAGCCUAUCCCUGACCUCUGCCCAAGUUUUACAGGUUAAGAAACUGAGACUCGUCCGGGCACGGUGGCUCACGCCUGCAAUCCCAGCACUUUCGGAGGCCGAG
rnacentral:lncRNA from 1 species